rnacentral:rRNA from 1 species
AUUGAACGCUGGCGGCAGGCCUAACACAUGCAAGUCGAACGAGUGGCGGACGGGUGAGUAAUGUCUGGGAAACUGCCUGAUGGAGGGGGAUAACUACUGGAAACGGUACCUAAUACCGAAUACCACCAGUUUGCCCCGGAUGGGUUUAGUUUGUUGGGGGGGUAACGGCUCACCAAGGCGACGAUCCUUAGCUGUUCUGAGAGGAUGACCAGCCACACUGGAACUGUGACACGGUCCAGACUCCUACGGGAGGCAGCAGUGGGGAAUAUUGCACAAUGGGCGCAAGCCUGAUACAGCCAUGCCGCGUGUAUGAAGAAGGCCUUCGGGUUGUAAAGUACUUUCAGCGGGGAGGCGUUACCCGCAGAAGAAGCACCGGCUAACUCCGUGCCAGCAGCCGCGGUAAUUC